CGCGUCUCCAGAUGAGAGAGUAGAUAUACCCUCUCAUGUGUGUCCAACGGUCACUCACUGCCUGAGUUUCGCAGACACCGCCACCCCAACCUGGACAUGACCCUGGCGAGACCACUGUCCAAGGCAGGGAGCUCUGAGCCGCUGCAGGCAAGUGGGGGCUGGGGAGAACCGUGUGAGGUCACACUCCAAGGUGAGCUGGCUCCUGGAAAGGCCACAGCUCAGCCCUGCAAGCUGCUCCAGAGUGAGGACUGAACUCCUGGAAAACAGGAGGGAAACCGGAAAACCGUGGGGCUCACUUAAACUGCAGUCAGCGUGUUCAGGCCGCACUUCAGAACUUGCCCCAGUGGACACUCUUCAUCGCACAUAAAUGCCUGCAGCACUUCUCGACAGAACCACAGGGACGGUCUUGUGCGGCUUUAGCACCCACUGUUUCACGGUCGUGUUACAGGGGUGUGACUACUGGCCAUGUGACCUGCACACCAAGCGUGAAGUCAAGCCCAGGAAGACACGAGUGAGAUCAGACUCUCUGGGGAGCGGCACGCUCUCUUAGUGGUCGGACAUUCUUAGAUCCACCGGACGUCUGUGGUGAGCCUGCAGAGGACAGGAAGCACCAACAGAAGGGUGGGAACGCUGGUGAAGACACGGAAGCCCCAGAGUGGUGAGCAGCGGCCUGGAGAGCCCCCUGAGAAGACCGUGGCCCAGGAGGAAGCACCCUGGGCCCAGAUAACAACAGGCACAAAACUCCCUCACAAGGUUGCCUUGCACCCUCUCUUGAGUCUACUGCUAGAAGCUGAGAAAUCUCGUUUAAACACACUCGUGUGGUGGACUGCUUUAGACAGCACCAUUUCCAGGGUGUAAGGACAGGGCUGAGUGGCCCAUUUCCUGAGGAGGGAGAUGGUGUCCAUCCCCUGCCCCCAGAGCUGGGCUCCUCCACAUUGAACCCACAUAGAAAAGGCCAACCUGCUCGGAAAAUCUGAGGCUGAUAGAAACCUUAAGAUGCAGCUAACAUUCAGAGGGCUUCCCUGGUGGAUCAUGGUAAAGAAUCCGCAUGCCAGUGCAAGAGAUGUGCGUUCAGUCCCUGGGUCAGGAAGAUCCCCUGAAGGAGGAAAUGGCAGCCCAUUCCAGUAUUCUUGUCUAGAAAAGCUCAUGGAGAGACGAACCUAGCGGGCUACAGUCCGUGGGGUCACAAGGGGUCAAACACAACUUAGCAACUAAACAACAAUAUUCAAAAGACUGCAUCAAAAACAAUUAAAUAAAGAGUCUAGAUAUACAGCAAGCCUCUCUCUGAGGCAUUGGUGGUUCAGUGGUAAAAUUCUCACCUGCCACGUGUGAGGCCUGGGUUUGAGGCUGAUACAAACCUUAAGAUGCAGUUAAUACGCAAAGGGCCUCCCUAGUAGCUGACGGUAAAGAACUCACCUGCCAAUGCAGGACGUGUGGGUUCAAUCCCUGGGUCGGGAAGAUCCCUGAAGAAGGAAAUGGCAACCCACUCCAGUAUUCUUGCCUGGGAAUUCUCAUGGACAGAGGAACCUAGCAGGCUAUAGUCCAUGGGGUCACAAGGGGUCGGACACAACUUAGCAACUGAACAACAGUAUUCAAAUGACGGGAUUAAAAAAUUUUUAAAUAGAGUCUAGAUAUACAGCAAAACUAAUAAGAUGGAAUUUAUCCAACACGAAUACAAAUGCUAAACGCAACUAACCAUGUGGUGUAAGCUGGAGGAGACGUAAUUUAGAACAUGUGAAGAAGACCAAGAGCGUGUAUUGCCAAUGUGACAGAUCUGAAAACUACAAUAAAAAUAACACAAGUUUGGGCUACCUCCAUAGGAUUUAAUAUUCAGGCUCCAGCUGGAACCAAAUUCAGCAUAUUGAUUCCAGAUCUGGACACUUUUGAGGCCAACUCUGAAGCAAGCCACAUUCAAAAAACUAGAAUCAUGGCAUCCGGUCCCAUCACUACAUGGCAAAUAGAUGGGGAAAAAUUAGAAACGGUGGCAGACUUUAUUUCCUUGGGCUCCAAAAUCACCACGGACAGUGUCUGCAGCCAUGAAAUUAACAGAUGCCUGCUCCUUGGAAGGAAAGCUAUGAUAAACCUAGACAAGGUAUUAAAAAGCAGAGACGUCAGUUUGCUGACAGAGGUCCGUCUAGUCAAAGCUAUGGUUUUUCCAGUAGUCAUGUAUGGACGUGAGAGUUGGACCAUAAUGAAGGCCGAGUGCUGAAGAAUUGAUGCUUUCGAACUGUGGUCAGAGAAGACUCUUGAGAGUCCCUUGGACUGCAAGGAGGUCAAACCAGUCCAUCCUAAAGGAAAUCAACCCUGAAUAUUCAUGGGAAGGACUGAUGCUGAAGCUGAAACUCCAAUAUUUUGGCCACCUGAUGCAAAGAGCUGACACACUGGAAAAGACCCUGAUGCUGGGGAAGAUUAAGGGCAGGAGGAGAAGGGGACAACAGAGGACGAGAUGGACAUGAGUUCAAGCAAGCUCCAGAAGACAGUGCAGGACAGGGAAGCCUGGCGUGCUGCAGUCGGUGGGGUCACCAAGAGUCGGACACAAUUUAGCAACUAAACAACAACUGAAGCAAGCUGGACUCGGUCCCAAGAAGAACGUGUGGAACAGACGAGAGAAGGUGGGCUUUGUGGGCCACUCCCAAUCUACCGCUCAUUAUGCAGCUGUGUCACUGCAGACAACUUACUUAUCCUCUCUGAGCCACUGCUCUCUCAUCUGAGAAAGAAGAAUAAUUUAGACACUUUCUCUAACUGAGAUAAUUAGGUAGGUCACGAUGCCAGUCUCAAAGUCAGCACCCAGCAAAUUCGCUGAAUUAUGACUAUCAUCUUUGUACUGUAAAAGAUAUCCUGGCAAAACAAACACAGUAGCUGUCUUUAGAUGCAUGUUACAGGAGAGAUGGGCUGGGAACACGGGGCUCAGGGCAGAGCGGACGCGGUGGUGAGAGAGGCAGGGCAGGAGCUGGGGACAAGGAGGGACAGGGCUGAAGAAGAGAUGUCCCCGCCUCUGAGCAGUUCGGUUCUGACGCAGAAUCCCUGGAUCCCAUGUUGAGAAACAUAGCUCCGAAAGUGUGAUGCUUCUGUUCAAAGUGUGCAACUGCGAGCAAAGAGUGCAGGAUGUGAUGGAAUAAAUGCCUGCCCUGCGGGGAAUUCAGCUCCGACCUCUCCUGCCUCCAGUACGCGGCGGGUCUUUCUCAGGCUUUCUGCAGCUCUGGAGGAGGAGCUAUUAAACAACGUCAUGGGAUCCCAGGCCUUCACAAGAUCCAAGUGUAAAAAAUGUCAACUAGGGCAUCUCUGACCCUCUAGGGGGGACUAGCCAGCUCCCCUGAGCCCAAAACAGAUCCACAACAGGGCUGGGAACAGGGGGAGGGGAGGGGAUGCCCUCCAACACCCCCCCACCCCAGAAACCCCUCUUCUGCAAGGGAGGGCCAGCAUUCAGCACGUGCACAGCACAGGGCAUGAGGACAAGGCAGCCCCUCCAAGGGCCCCCAGCAGAGAAGCCGAGGGUACACCUGCAAGCCUGCUUCCGCAGUCGGGAUGCUGGUCCUGUGGACGAGGACUCCUGAAGGCACGCCAGGGUCCUCUCCUUUCUGCUGCUGCUGCUGCUGCUGCUAAGUCACUUCAGACGUGUCCGACUCCGUGCGACCCCAGAGAUGGCAGCCCACCAGGCUCUCCCAUCCCUGGGAUUCUCCAGGCAAGAAUACUGGAGUGGGUUGCCAUUUCCUUCUCCAAUGCAUGAAAGUGAAAAGUGAAAGUGAAGUCACUCCGUCGUGUUUGACUCUUAGCGACCCCAUGGACUGCAGCCCACCAGGCUCCUCCGUCCAUGGGAUUUGCCAGGCAAGGGUACUGGAGUGGGGUGCCAUUGCCUUCUCCACCUCUGCUUUCUAAGGAGACCUGGAGCUGAUCCCUGGGUUGGGAAAAUCCCCUGGAGGAGGAAAUGACAACCCACUGCAGUGCUCUUGCCUGGAGAAUCCCAUGGACAGAAGGGUCUGGCGGGCUACAGUCCACGGGGUCACAAAGAGUCAGACACGACUGAGCGACUUCACUUCACUUCACUUUCCCCUCUGGUGACCGGAAGUUUUUUUCCUAUGUCUCAAAGCUCUAGAGUUGGAGGCGUUCCAGAGAAGACUCUCAUCCCCUCCACACGACACAGACUUGCGUGUCUUGGGAUCUUCUGCCCAGACAGGGACAGACAGCACAACUCGGUGACGGCCGGCGAGGACUCAUGGAUGGCCACGGCCUCCCCGCCGCCUGCAGCAGCCCCCUAGGUGUCUGCCGCCCCUCGGGGCUGCCACGCUGGCACCGAUCAGAGUUAUCCUAAUGAUCAAAGCGACUCUAAAACAAGGUGCGUCCCAAAGUCUCCCUUUGGACCAGUCCUCCUUCCAAGCAAGCGGCCAUCUCGACCAUGGUUUCUGUGGCCCAGGGGAGGAGGAGGGGCAAGAAGGGCAUCGUCCACAGAGCAAGCGCUUCCCUCGGAGCUGAAGGGGAAGCCACCCCUGCCCCUGGGGCCAAGACACCUACCAACCCUGCGGCUGGGACUCCAAGGCCAAGACUCGGGCACCCUGCAACAUCACACACCCCUCAAAACACCAGCCACCGAUGUCCCACCCUGGUGGUUUAAUCAUUUCUUCAAAACAAUGCAAAUAGAAAACAAAGUUAUUUUGACCAGCUCAGCGGCUGAAAGGCCUUGAGCCUUUCAGACAAUAGAAGAAAGACUGCAAACAGAGAGGAGAGAAAACAUGAUUAAAUCACGGAGGUGACAUUAAAUCAAUAGAAGCAGCACAAGAUCGAUCCUCCCUCCCUCCAGGGAGCGGCGGCGGGCUCGUGCGUGUUUUCAGAUGGUUCCAAGAUUGCUUCCCAUCUGAACUGUGCAGAUAGAGACUCUGGGGGGGAGGGACGUGGUAGGGGAACUGCUAUUUCCCUAAAUGUCUAAUUGGAUUCUUGAAGGAUGGUUAUAUGUUUCUGGCUUGAUCCAGCAGUUCAGCCAAUCAGUUCCAGCCCCGUGCACACAUGAGACGCCAAUACCAAUAACAGCAUGGGCAGCUGGGCAAUUACCAGACAAAAGCGACUCUGGGCGAACCAAUCGGAAAAUGAAGGCGCUGCGAUUCGCCACCAGGACGACCAGGCGGUUGGAAAUCCAGGUCAUGCAAACAAUUCCCUCUCGACGGCCUGGCUCUGCGUCAUUUAACAUCACGGACGGUCCACAGAGCAGACUCCAAGCUGCAGGAUGGCCAACUCCAUGAAUCCAUGCUUCAGUCAAGGAAGCAUCAGCAAAGAGGAAAUGUCCCACUAAAAAGAGGGUCCCAGCGUUCCAGCACUGACUGUGCUGCUAACUCACAGAGGACCUGCACCCUCUAGGUUCUCUUCCUUCCUCCUUUUCAUCUCUGCGAUGAGGCUGCAAAAGCCCACGGUCUUAACAUCUUCUUUACCCUCCAAAAUUCUGCCUCUAAAAACUGGACUAAAAUUCCUGUGAGUCAUCUGUGCUUGGUGAUAACCUAUCAGCUAUCGGGACCCAUUCAAGCACUCUGGACAAAUCAUACCUAAAGAGUACUAGACACAGUGAAACAAAAUGUUUUCUCAGUAAAAAAAAACACACACACACACAUACAGCAGAAGCAGCAUCCUGCCAUUGAUCUGAGCACGGAACGGUGGCAGGAUAUGGCCACGGGUUUACAUUUGUUAUUAAUAGGAAGGCUGAAUUUUCAGGACAAAAAUAACAUUAUCCUCGGAACUAAGGAAAUGCGAAGCUGUAAAUAAAACAUAGGCAGUUGCCAGUUGAGAUAGUGUAUCCAAUACUACUCUUCAAAAGAUUUUCACUCCUUGGGACUCGGUGACUGUUCUAGACAAAAACACUCCUGCAUUCCAGUCUGGGGAGGGGGUAGCUGUAAUUUGGCAACACGAAACCUGGGCUGAUUGUCCAGAAAUACUGAAAAUGGAUUAAGAGGAGUGCCAUUCUGCGAGGAGUGGAGAGAAGGAGCAUCGGUCUACCCACGAGCGGCCCCUGGUUGCCCAGGAGGGGCAAAGACCAGCUAAAGUGCUGGGGGCAAUGCCACCCAGCCUCCCUGCUGGGGAGGGUCAGGACUCCACAGCCAGCCAGAUGGGAGGAGGGGUGCAGGAAAGACGGGAGACCAGGCGCCCAGGCCCCCAGCCAAAGUCCCUGUCAUCCGAGACCAGAGGCAAGAGCUGCCGCCUCCCUGCCCAUCUCCUCCCAGGCAGCAGAUACGCUCACCUGCUUCCCCAGUCACUGGAGGCCAGACACCCCAACAGGGUGCUGAGAGGUCAACUUGCCUCCGAUGGGCUUGCUUCAGGUCAUGCUUAUAUCCAUUCUUAUCUUUUAAAAAAAAUUGGCAUUUUAAGCAUUCUGGACCGUAUCGUCUAUGGGCACAUAGAGCUCGAUGUUACCCUUCUAAUAAUUCUCCAAAACGCAGCAUUUUGUGAAUGAUGAGAUGCUUAGUAUCCAUCUGAGUGAUUUUUUUUAACUUAUUGGCCUUUGUGUGUAUAUGUACACAAUGGAAUAUUACUCAGCAAUUAAAAAGAAUUCAUUUUAAUCAGCUCGAAUGAGGUGGAUGAAACUGGAGCCCAUUAUACAUAAUGAAGUUAAGUCAGAAAGAAAAACACCAACACAGUAUAUUAACAUAUAUAUGGAAUUUAGAAAGAUGGUAACGAUGACCUUAUAUGCGAGACAGCAAAAGAGACACAGAUGUAAAGAACAGACUUUUGGACUCUGUGGGAGAAGGCAAGGGUGGGAUGAAUUUGAGAAAAUAGCAUUGAAACAUGUAUAUUAACCACAUGUGAAACAGAUCUCCAGUCCAGGUUUGAUGCAUGAGACAGGGUGCUCAGGGCUGGUGCACUGGGAUGACUCUGAGGGAUGGGGUGAGGACGGUGGAGGGAGGGGAGUUCAGGAUGGGGGACACAUGUACACCCGUGGCUGAUUCAUGUCAAUGUAUGGC
ensembl:lncRNA